CCCCAAACUGUGAGGAACAAAGGAAAGAGUCAAGCUUGCGACAUUUGUGCUUGACUGGUGGUUUCUAAAGCCUGGGCUCUAGAUUCCUGGGGAACUGCGGUGUUGUUGCGGGAAACCCACGUCCAUGAGAAGGGAGCCCAGCCUGCGGCGGGAUGGAUAACACGCCUCUCAGACGAAUGGACUCCUGUUGGCCAAAUGUUUGCUUAUGUUGUCGGGAUUAAUACACUUUUAAAUAAGGAAACUAAGACCAAGGGAAAGGAAGUGACUUUUCAAGAGGUUCUCCAGACCGGAUUUUAGCUCAAGGAAGUGCCCUUUCCCCAGCACAUGGAGCCAGAGAAGAAAAGAGGCAAGAAUGUGUGGGAAGCCAAGCACAAGUGAAAUUUGUAAAAGAUAGGUUUUAAUUUCUACAUCCUCUUUAGAAAUUAUGUACUUUUUUUUUCUUAUGGGGACUUGUGUAAUUUUAGGACCUAAAUCCAUUUCGAUAACUUCAUACUUUAAGUUAUUUCAAUCAGAUAAUAACCCCUUCCUCACUUAGGAGGCUAUUCCCAGGGAAGGGAUCCUUCAGUGACUAAGCACUGAGAAAAUUUUUGAUGAUGUUUAAUUGAUUUAUAAUUGUAUCUUUUUAAAAAGAUUUUAUUUAUUUAUUCAAGAGAGACAGAGACAGAAGCAGAGGGAGCUGGAGAAGCAGGCUCCCUGCAGGGGGCCCACC
rnacentral:lncRNA from 1 species